CCCGCCUGCCCGCCCGCCCGCGGGCCCCGCUCGGCGGCGCGGGCCUUUCUACCUGCGAGCCAUGGCCCCUGCUUCCUUCCCCAAGGCCGAGCCAGGCGCCGACGGACGGACGGACGGACGGACGGACGGACGCGCGGCCGGAUCCUCCGCCAGGUUUUCCCGCCGCCCUCGCGUCGCGUUGCGUCGGCCCCUCCAGUCUCGGCUUCCCGCCACUGGGGACUCCUCGUGGGGGGUGAGCUGAGCUGACUGAGGUCGGGGGCUGCGAGCGGCCUCUGAAGAAACUUCCGGAAGCGGCUGGGGGAGCGGGCUUCCACCUCCCACCCCGGCCCCGCUGCUGCGCGCGUAUCGUACCCCGCCGCUGACACGGGCCGGGCCGAGCCGAGCCGAGCCGGGUGACCCCGCCGCUGACACGGGCCGCUCCGAGCCGGGUGACCCCUCCGCUGACACGGGCCGCGCCGGUGUCCCAGGGUCCUGCAGCGGAGCCGAAGCGGCGUCAUCCCCCGACCCCCGGGUGAGGAAGUCCGCGCAGGCUCGAGAGACGCGGGGCCUCUGCCACCCCUUCCUACCUGCAGGCCUCGUGGGUGGGGGUCCCCUGCCGCAGCUCCAGCUGGCCUGCAUACCGCGCGCGCGUGCGUGCGUGCGUGUGUGUGUGUGUGUGUGUGUGUGUGUGUGUGUGAGUGUGUGUGUCCAUCCAUCCAUCCCUCUCUUGACUACAUACCGUGUGUGUGUGUGUGUGUGUGUGUGUGUGUGUGUGUGUGAGUGUGUGUGUGUGUGAGUGUGUGUGUGUGUGUGUGUGUGCAUCCCUCUCUCGACUACAUACCGUGUGUGUGUGUGUGUGUGUGUCCAUCCAUCCCUCUCUUGACUACAUACCGUGUGUGUGUGUGUGUGUGUGUGUGUGUGUGUGAGAGAGAGAGAGAGAGAGAGAGAGAGUGCCCCUCUCUUAGAGAGUCCCUCUCUUGUCUACAUACCAUGAGAGAGAGAGAGAGAGAGUCCCUCUCUUGUCUACAUACCGUGUGUGAGAGUGUGUGUGUGUGUGUGUGUCCAUCCAUCCAUCCCUCUCUUGACUACAUACCGUGUGUGUGUGUGUGUGUGUGUGUGUGUGUGUGUGUGUGUGUGUGUGAGAGAGAGAGUCUCAGAGAGAGUGUCCCUCUCUUGUCUACAUACCGUGUGUGUGUGUGUGUGUGUGUGUGUGUGUGUGUGUGUGUGUGUGUGUCCAUCCCUCUCUCGACUACAUACCGUGUGUGUGUGUGUGUGUGUGUGUGUGUGUCCGUCCAUCCCUCUCUUGACUACAUACCGUGUGUGUGUGUGAGUGUGUGAGUGAGAGACUGUGUGUGUGUGUCCCUCUAAUACUUUCUGCAAACUGAAGUGUGUGUGUGUGUCUCCCUCUCUAAUACUUUCUGCAAACUAAAGUAGGCCCAUCCUUCAAACUUUUGUGAGGUUCAAUUUUGGAUAAGGUUGGAAUUUGCCAUUCCACCCUGGGAUGGCAUGAAUCAGUGUUGUUGUUGUUGUUGUUUACACCCAGAAUAAUUUCAUCCACUGGAAACUAGCUGUCUUGUGUUUGUAAUAAUUCAGUAGUAAAUUUGGCAACACCACCUUGGCCGUAGGUGAGAGGCUAGAGAAAGUAGAUUUACCCCACACCUAGUUAGAAGCAGCUGGGUUUUUUUUUUUUUGUUUUGUUUUGUUUUGUUUUUUAAUCCCGGUUCAGACCUGCCAUCUAAUUUUCCUGAACAAUCGAGGAAAGAUUUUUUUCAGUUAGCUUAUCAUCUGGGCAAAAGAUGUAUUUGGUGUAACUUCCUGUUUUCAGCAAACUGCAACACUGCAGAUUCGAAUGCACCACUUUUGGGGCAGAAAUCCUCAGCCGACCUGACAGUCCCAUAGCCUUUGGUUUGUCUUAGGCAAAGCCUCAAUAACUCAGUCAAAAGAAACUUAGAUGUAUUUAGUAACUUUUUUUUUUUUGUAGAUGCAUGGUAAGGGUGGAGAAUUAGAAAAAGAAAAAGAAAAAAAAGUUUGUCACUUCUUGUGUAUUUUGGCUUUCAUUUUAAACUGAAUUCCCGUGUGUUCAAAGAUAAUUUACCUCCUCUUCAUAUUCCCAAAUCUUGUGUCUUCAAUCAUCCGUUCUAUGUGGUCUGCUUUUCUGUGAUUUCCCACCUCUAGACAUGAGCUGUGUGCAUCAAUUUUUGAGGGUGUCCUCCAGCCCAUUUGGCCCUAAAUGCCAAGUUUUUAGUCCCACUGAACCCAUUGCCCACUUGUCACUGUCUCUGUCCCUUGUAUUUAAGUCUUUAUUACCUACUGUCAUCUUCAGUGGCUGGACUUGCUCAUUCACCUAUGUCCACUUUGCAACCAGAUUGCAUCUGUUCUGAGCAGAUAACCCUACCAGACAGUACAAAAAGAUGUAAUAGUAAUUUUACUUCUCAAAACACCCUUCAUCUCUGUGUCAGCAAACCUGGUAUCUAUCAGGAUGAGCCAUUUGGAAAGAUAGUGACACCAGAAUUGAAGUUCAAAACAGUUCCACAAGGUUCUAGCAGGCCAAAGUCAACGAGAUUAAAAUAUAGCUUCAGAAAUUAGAACCUAUAAAAUAGUUCGAAAAGCUCAAGUUCUGCUGUUUUUUAAAUACCUCAUUGCCAGCUUCCCAUAUGUGCCCUUAGGUGUGCCUUGGAGACAGUUUUUUGUUAAGUUUGCCCAUUCCUUCUGCUUUGUACUGGAAGAACCCUGAAGCCUGCCCAAAGCAGAUUUAGCACUAGUCAAAUGGAGGAGCACUGAGUCAUUUGAACAGCCAUCGGAACGAUUAUUUCUAAGACUUGGGUAAGGAAUUAGCCAUCUGUGCAAAGGAAGUGGAUUUCACAGGUUGCUUUCCAAACUGACUUGGCUUCGGCUUUACCCAGAGAUAUAAUUACUAAUUCAGAGGCCCCUUCCAGAUCCAAGAACCAAACUUGGGAGGUAAAGAGCAAAACCAGAAUCUGAAACUAACAGAGUUUACAUUUUGUUUUUAACCAUUAUUAGCUGGGUAGUUUUGAGCAACUUCUCAGUGUUUCAUCCUCAUCUGAUAUGGGGAUGAUAACUAACUCAUGAAAUUGUUAAGUUAAACAUGGACAGAUAUUACUGAUGAUGAAAAGUCUCUAAAGACCCAGUGCCUGAGUUUGGAAACCACAGAUUUAAUGACCCAUUCCUGUUCUUCUGUCCAAGUUUCAAAUGCUAUAACCCUAAAAUUUUCACUAUUAAGCUUUACAGUAUAUUCUAAUAAAUCUCACUUGUUUUGAAGCAGUGUAAUUUGUAAUUUUUUAUGUAUAUUAGUGUGCUGCCUGCACAUAUGUGUAGGCAACGUGUGUGCCAAUACUGUCUGCAUGCUGAGGAAGGCCAGAAGAGGUUCCAAUUACUCUGGACCUAGAGUUACAGACAGUUGUGGUCUACCACAUGGGUACUGGGAAUUGAACCCAGGUCCUCUGCAAAAAUAAGUUGUAGACUGAGUUUGCCUGAGCCAUCGGCCAAAAAGUUUAUAAUUAAUAUAAUCAUCUGUGUAUUUAUUUGGGACUAAACAGCUGGAGGACCAGGUGGGACAGAAGCUCUGUCUACAAUAAGUGCUCUUAAUCUCUGGAGCCAUCUUUCCAGCUUUCAAAAUAGUUAUUAUAAAAGGAAUAGGCUGGACAUAGUGGUAAAUGCCCUUAAUCCUAGCACUCCAGAGGCAGAGAAGUGUAUCUCUGAAUUUAAAGCCAGCCUGUUCAACAUAGUUCGAGGCCAGCCAGUGCCACAAACUGAAACCUUUAAAAAAAGAAAAGGAGAGGGAGAAGGGAUUGACAUCUGAAGCAAGCUUGUUCCUAAUUUGAACUAAUAAAAAAAAAAAAAAAAGGGAUCAGUCAAGUAAAUCGUAUUUUUGAAAAGUACGAUUCUGAAGACAUUUUUUGCUGACGUGUAUAUGUGAAGAGUAUGUAUGUGGAUGUGUGUACAUGUAUGUGUGGAGGUCCGAGGUGUCUGAUCCCCUGGGGCUGGAG
ensembl:lncRNA